UCUGAAGCCAGGCUUUGAUUUCUCCUCUCUGGCUGUAAAAGUACUAGACAGCAUGUUCUUCCAAUAGAAAGCUAUUUUAUCUACAGUGACAUUCUGUUGUUUAGUAUGGCCAUCUUUAUUAAUUAUUUUAGAUAGAUCUUCUGGGUAACUUGCUGUAGCCUCUACAUUAGCACUUGCUGCUUCAUCUUGUGCUUUUGUGUUAUACAGACAGCUUCUUGCCUUAAACUUCAUGAUCCAAACUCUGCUAACUUCCAACUUUUCUUCUGCAGCUGCCUUACCUCUCUCGGCUUUAUAUAAUUAAGGCACAGCACCACAUGGAAACUGCCAAGGCCUGGGCUUCCACCCUCUGAAGUAACAGCCUGAGUCAUACCAUCGCCACUUUUUGUCACAGCUGGAGCAACUAGGAUGCAGGGCACCAGGUCCCUAAACUGCACAUAGCCGAGGGUCCCUGGGCCCAGCUCACAGAACCAAUUUUUCCUCCUAAACCUCUGGGCCUGUGAUGAGACGGGCUGCCUUGAAGACCUCUGAUAUGCCCUGGAGACAUUUUUUCUAUUGUCUUGGGGAUUAACAUUUGACUCUUCAUUACUUAUGCAAAUUUCUAAAACCAGCUGGAAUUUCUCCUCAGAAAAUGGGGUUUUCUUUGCUAUUGCAUUGUCAGGCUGCAAAUCUCCCAAACUUUUAUGCUCUGUUUCUCUUUUAAAACUGAAUGCCUUUAACAGCACCCAAGUCACUUCUUGAAUGCUUUGCUGCCUAGAAAUGUCUUCCACCAAAUACCCUAAAUCAUCUCUCUCAAGUUCGAAGUUCCACAAAUCUCUAGAGUCGGGGCAAAAUGCUGCCAGUCUCUUUGCUAAAACAUAACAAGUCUCACCUUUGCUCCAGUUCCUAACAAAAUCCUCAUCUCCAUCUGAGACCACCUCAGCCUGGAUUUCAUUGUUUAUAUCAUUAUCAGCAUUUUGGUCAAAGACAUUCAACAAGUCUCUAGGGAGUUCCAAACUUUCCCACAUUUUCCUGUCUUCUUCUGAGACCUCCAAACUGUUUCAAUCUCUGCCUGUUACCCAGUGCCCAAGUCGCUUCAAAAUUUUGGGGUAUCUUUUCAGCAAUGACCCAUUCUACUUGUACAAAUUUACUGUAUUAGCCCAUUUUCACAUUGCCAAUAAAGACAUACCAAUUUACAAAAGACAAUUGGCAAUUUACAAAGGAAAAUGUUUAUUGGACUUACAGUUCCAUGUGGGUAGGGAAGCCUCACAGUCAUGGUGAAAGGUUAGAGGCACGUCUCACAUAGUGUCAGACAAGAGAAGAAGGCUUUUGCAGGAAAACUCCCCUUUUUAAAACCAUCAGAUCUCAUGAGACUUAUUCACUAUCAAGAGAACAGCAUGGUAAAGACCUGCCUCCAUGAUUCUAUUACCUUUCACCAUGUUCUUCCCACAACGUGGGAAUUCAAGAUGAUAUUUGGGUGGAGCCAUAGCCAAAGUGUACCACUGGAUUAGCACUUUUAAUUUCCUUCAAGAACUUAUUCUUUACUAUCAAAACUUGGCUGUUUGGCACAAGAGACCUAGCUUUCAGCCUAUCUCAGCUUUUGACUUGACUUUCUCACUAAGCUUAAUUAUUUCUAGCUUCUGAUUUAAAGUGAGAGAUGUGUAACUGUUCCUUUUACUUGAACACUUAGAGGCCAUUGUAGGGUUAUUUAUUGGUCUAAUUUCAAUAUUGCUGUGUCUCAGAGAACAGGGAGGUUUAAGGAGAGGGAGAAAGAUGGGAACAACUCUUUGAUGGAGCAUCAGAACACACACAAUAUUUAUCAGCUAAAUUCCCCUUUUGUAUGAACACAAUUUAUGAUGCCCCCAAAAAGUUACAAUAGUAACAUCAAAGAUCAUGACUAAUCACCAUAACAGAUACAAUAAUAAUGAAAAAGUUUGAAAUAUUGUGAGAGUUGACUAAAAUGUGACACAGAAAUACGAAGUGAUCAUAUGCUGUUAGAAAAAUUGGCACUGAUAGACUUGCUCCGCUCAGGGUUGCCAUAAACCUUUCACUUUAUAAAAUAUGCAAUAUUUGCAAAGUUCAAUAUAAAGAAGCUCAAUAAAACAAGGAUACUUGUGAUUACCUUAUUAAGCAGAACAUUUUGUUCAGCCUCCAAUAUGCUUUUAAAUCUUGCAUAUCCUCUAUAUUACUUUCUUUGUGUUAUAUUAAUCUUGAUUAUGUGGUAUGGUAUGUCCUGCAUAAUAUGUCAUAAAUAUUUAUUUUCAUGCCUGUAUAUCCAUUGUUAGAAUUGUCAUUAUUGCAUAGAAUAUGGAAUAGGGACCUCAGCAAGAGAUAGCAUGAUGGGGCAAGAAUUAUUCAGGAAAGAAUAAAGACAGUCUCAAGCUCCUCACAACUCCUGAAUGAUAGGAAAAAACAUAUCACUAUCUCCAGUAGGCCACUGAUUAUAUCCCCAAAGUUUUGCAGUUAUGUACGGGUUCCCAAAGCUAUUGAAGAAUGGGGUGCAGCUUCACUUGUAUGAGAUGAAAGUGGACAUAUGUGGCCAAUUGGACAUCAGAAAGAUGUGAUAAAAACUCCUGGAGUUCUCAUAUACAUACAGAAUUGCAGAAGAUAAGGUCUGUUACAAUUGGAUUUGUCAUGUCUUGCCGAUGUAAAGCCUCUUGACUUCAAGCUAGAUUGACCAUAGAAUUCUGCAGAAAGAGAAAAAUAUGGGUUAGGUAUGAAAACUUCUGUUUCAACUAAGACAUGAACAGCCAUACUGAAAGACAUUUUACCCAAUUCUAUCCCAUAUUUCAUUCUGAGCUGGCCAGCAACAUGGUCACGAGAAGUAGAGAAAAAGUCAGCAAGCAGAUUGCUGUGGCCUGAGAGUGCUGCCCAAGUCAUGAGAGGGGGUUUUAACAGACAGAAAUAGAGAAUAAUGGUUAAUUCUCCAUCUCUGUAAAAUUACUAUUAAAAUCUCAUUAAUUGGUAAAUCAUUUAGAUGAAGAUAGGGGUAAAAGAUGGUAAAUGAGUGAGGUUUUAAUAGUUAUUUUAAAUUUAAUUUAUUGGGAAGUUCUGAG
rnacentral:lncRNA from 1 species